rnacentral:rRNA from 1 species
ACGCUGGCGGUAGGCUUAACACAUGCAAGUCGAGCGAGAAAGUAUCUUCGGAUAUGAGUAGAGCGGCGGACGGGUGAGUAACGCGUAGGAAUCUACCUAGUAGAAGGGGAUAGCCCGGGGAAACUCGGAUUAAUACCGUAUACCUCCUUAGGGAGAAAGAGGGCCUCUCUUGAAGCUUUCGCUAUUAGAUGAGCCUGCGUAAGAUUAGCUUGUUGGUGAGGUAAUGGCUUACCAAGGCUACGAUCUUUAGCUGGUCUGAGAGGACGAUCAGCCACAUUGGGACUGAGACACGGCCCAGACUCCUACGGGAGGCAGCAGUGGGGAAUAUUGGACAAUGGGCGCAAGCCUGAUCCAGCCAUACCGCGUGUGUGAAGAAGGCCUUCGGGUUGUAAAGCACUUUAAGCAGGGAGAAAAAGCAAUAAGUUAAUACCUUAUUGCCGUGAUGUUACCUGCAGAAUAAGCACCGGCUAAUUCCGUGCCAGCAGCCGCGGUAAUACGGAAGGUGCAAGCGUUAAUCGGAAUUACUGGGCGUAAAGCGCGCGUAGGUGGUUUGUUAAGUUGGAUGUGAAAGCCCUGGGCUCAACCUAGGAACUGCAUCCAAAACUAACUCACUAGAGUACGAUAGAGGGAGGUAGAAUUCAUAGUGUAGCGGUGGAAUGCGUAGAUAUUAUGAAGAAUACCAGUGGCGAAGGCGGCCUCCUGGAUCUGUACUGACACUAAGGUGCGAAAGCGUGGGUAGCGAACAGGAUUAGAUACCCUGGUAGUCCACGCCGUAAACGAUGACAACUAGCUGUUGGGAGACAAUGUCUUUCAGUGGCGCAGCUAACGUUUUAAGUUGUCCGCCUGGGGAGUAC